rnacentral:rRNA from 1 species
CACGUAGGGGCGAGCGUUGUCCGGAAUUACUGGGCGUAAAGGGCGCGCAAGCUGUUAUGCGAGUCUGCUGUGAAAUGUACCGGCUCAACCGGUGCCUUGCGGCGGAUACUGCAUAGCUGGAGUACUGGAGAGGGAAGUGGAAUUCCCUGUGUAGCGGUGAAAUGCGUAGAUAUCGGGAGGAACACCGGUGGCGAAGGCGGCUUUCUGGCCAGUUACUGACGCUCAUGCGCGAAAGCUGGGGUAGCGAACCGGAUUAGAUA